UACGGGGGGGGCAAGCGUUGUUCGGAAUUACUGGGCGUAAAGGGCUCGUAGGCGGCCAACUAAGUCAGACGUGAAAUCCCUCGGCUUAACCGGGGAACUGCGUCUGAUACUGGAUGGCUUGAGAUUGGGAGAGGGAUGCGGAAUUCCAGGUGUAGCGGUGAAAUGCGUAGAUAUCUGGAGGAACACCGGUGGCGAAGGCGGCAUCCUGGACCAACACUGACGCUGAGGAGCGAAAGCGUGGGGAGCGAACAGG
rnacentral:rRNA from 1 species